rnacentral:lncRNA from 1 species
CUAACAAGGAGCUCCUCAGUGCAGACUUGUCUGAGGAAGAGAAACAUUUUGUGUUGCAAAACCAAGUUGCCGUCAACCAGCCUUCUGCUACUGAGGAAGUGGAGGAAAAGGGAAUAAUGAACAAAGUGUUGAUACACUGUGCAGUGCUGUGAGAGUAAUCAAAGAGCCUUUGUGUUUAGGAAGGGGUUUUGAAGUACUGAAAAUUAUGGUAUAGGUUUGCUUUUGUUCUGCUUUAAAAAUUGAGGUGAAUUCUGGUGAUCUAACCCAAGGAAAUACAAGAAAGGAGGAAGUGAGAUGAGAGGAGAGCCUAUGGAUCAGCAACGGAAAAGGAGAAAGGGAAAAAAAGCCUCGUAGAAACGCUCAGCAUAACUGGCCAGGUUUAUUGCUCAGAGAGACAGUACCUUUUGCUGAGUCCAGCAUAUGGCUAACAGGAGCUAUGUCAGCAGCUGAGACCACAGCAAGUCCUGAAGCCAACUGGAUUAGGU